rnacentral:sRNA from 1 species
GCGAUGCUUAAACCCUAUGAAUUUGGAA